UUAAACAUAAGAGCAUGAACUUGUUUUAAAGCAUUCCAUAACAUUAAAUGCAACUAUAAAUUGAUUUUAGUAUACUGUGUUGUACUUCAAUAAAUGAAAAAUGUAAAUGUUGACAAAUUGCUGUUGUGAAAGAGAAAUAAAACACUUCUGGAUUUGUUGUUAUAGGAAAAUAAUUAACAUGUGUUGGAACAGCAAUUCCAUUUCAUCAGUGAGUAUUUUAUUUGGUUUGUUUUGGUGUGUUUUAGUGUGUAUCAGUAUGGAUUAGUGUAUAAUACUGUGUGCUGGUGUGUAUCUUUGUGUGUUGGUGUGUAUAGGUAUGUGUUGUUGUGUGUUGGUGUCUAUAGAUGUUUGUUGUUGGGUGCUGGUGUGUAUAGGUGUGUGUCAGUGUGUAUAGGUGUGUGUUGUGGUGUAAUAUUGUGUGUUAGUGUGUAUGGAUGUGUGUUGAUGUGUGUUGGUGUGUAUAGGUGUAUAUUGCGGUGGAAUACUGUGUGUUAGUGUGUAUGGAUGUGUGUUGGUGUGUAUAGCUGUGUGUUGGGGUGGAAUACUGUGUGUUAGUGUGUAUGGAUGUGUGUUGGUGUGUAUAGCUGUGUGUUGGGGUGGAAUACUGUGUGUUAGUGUGUAUGGAUGUGUGUUGGUGUGUAUAGGUGUGUGUUGGGGUGGAAUACUGUGUGUUAGUGUGUAUGGAUGUGUGUUGGUGUGUGUUGGGGUGGAAUACUGUGUGUUAGUGUGUAUGGAUGUGUGUUGGUGUGUAUAACUGUGUGUUGGGGUGGAAUACUGUGUGUUAGUGUGUAUGGAUGUGUGUUGGUGUGUAUAGCUGUGUGUUGGGGUGGAAUACUGUGUGUUAGUGUGUAUGGAUGUGUGUUGGUGUGUAUAGGUGUGUGUUGGGGUGGAAUACUAUGUGUUAGUGUGUAUGGAUGUGUGUUGGUGUGUAUAGGUGUGUGUUGGGGUGGAAUACUGUGUGUUAGUGUGUAUGGAUGUGUGUUGGUGUGUAUAGGUGUGUGUUGGGGUGGAAUACUGUGUGUUAGUGUGUAUGGAUGUGUGUUGGUGUGUGUUG
ensembl:lncRNA